UUAUUUUAGUAAUUAUUAUUAAUAUUAUUUAACCUGUUUUUUGUUAAUUUUGAAGAUGUUUAACUUGACAAUUCUGUGGAUUAUCCAAGUCUUUGGAGAUUGAAUUAUUCCUAUUAACCUUUUAGAUAUUUCUGUGAACUGUUUGGUCUUUUGUACACUUGGUUUUUAUUUUGGGUCCAGCUCUUUCCAUUCAACUUUAUCUUUAUCCAUUCAAAUGGUUUGCAAUGAGAUUUAAUCGUUUUUUUUGGUUGAAUUAUUGAACCCAUUUGCAAUUAUUUAAAUGUUUUCAACCAGAAUUGUUUGGGUUAUUCGGUGAACCAUCGUUUAGGCCAUCAUGAAACCGGAAAUUUGAGCAACACUCUUCAAACAAAAACAUAUAAAACAGGUAACUAGGAAACAAAGUGAAAUAGAAGGAUGAGCAUCAUUUUGAUGAGACAAGUGAAUAAAUUUGCUGACCUGAUGGUGAAUUCAACUGAAAAUGUAAUACAAUGAAUCUGAAACCGCAAAACAAUGAAAAGAAAUCGUUUUUGGAUUUGGUUUUUUUCUUUGAAGAGAAAGCAAUUUAGAUGGUUAAUGGUGAUCCAAAAAAGAGUUAUGAACUACCUUAAUUGAAAACAUUAAUCAGCACAAUUGGAUUCUAUUCAUGCCAUUCAAAAAUAAAUACAAAGUUAUAAGUUGAGACCAGGAUUGAGUCAAGAUUUUUUUUCAAUAUUAGCUGAUAAUUGAUUAAACACAUUUAGUUGGAGACCGAUUAUAACACUUUACAUAAAGUAAAUAAGCCUAAAUCUCAACAAUAAUCCAUCAAAUUGAUUGUAUAACCUAAUCAAUUCAAGGAUGCAAAAUGAGCGCCAACUGAAUGACUUACAAUCAAGUAAAUAUUUACAAUUGAGUUAACCAGUGUCAGGUACAAUGAGUAAAUAUUAAAUCAACGAAAAUGUGUUAAAUCAUUUAAAAUAAACUACACAAUCAAGUUUUUUUUCUCAUUCAUUGAAUGCAAAGGUUUAAUGCAACUUAUUUAUAAGAAUGAGAAAAAUUUGAUUCCAUUUAGUUAUUGUUAAUGGAUCUUCCCUGUUUCUCUGUUGAAUUAAUCCUAUCAGUUGAAUCAUUUUGUAAUACAUUAUAUUACACGAAAAUUACAAUCGUGAAGCAAGGUAAAUUGGUUAUUGAUUGUGAUGAUCACUUCACCAAAAUCAACUUCAUUGUCAAGCUACUAAAGUGUAGCAAGAUUGGAAAGGCAAAGUAAAUGGUGAAUCAAAAAAAUACGGAAAUGAUUAAAAUUUUUACCCGAUUUUUGGUUAAUCUUUACCCAGCCAACAAUCAUAUUGUAUCAACAUCGUUUCUCUGUCAAAUGUUAAUCAGUUUUUACUUGCAACAAUUGAUGGUUUUAAUAUAAAGCAACAUCUAAAGCUGGUCAUCUCAGAGCUGGUGGCCAGCCAAGAAAGAUGAAAAUCACGAAAUGAUUUACAAUGUAUAUUUUAAUUUAGUGGGCCUUCUCAUUGUGUGAUAAACGUUUAUUGUUAUACAUUAUUAGUUAUCCGUGUCUUGAUGGUCAACUUUAAUUUCUUGCCUCUUAAAGUCUCUAUCAAAAGGGAAAUGGUUUUUCAUGGUUUUACCUGUUAAAAAAGGAUUCACUUCAAUUGGCUGUCAACUUCAUCAUUUGCUUGUUAUUCAUCAACAUAAUUCAUCUCAGCAUUUCAUUUCAUCCCUUAAUCUUUCACCAUUCUUCUCUCAGUCCAGGAUAUUUUUUUUCUUCUAAUAUUAAUUUUAUCAUCCUCUUGUUACCUUACUGACCUUAACUUAAUGUAUUUUAUUUAAAAUACAAAACACUAAACUAUUUAGAUGAAUAAGAGUGUAAAAAAUGUGUUUUAUUCAUGCGUUUUGUUCAUUCAAGUUGACCAAAUGUUGAUCAAAAUCUCAUCUCGUUAUAACCAGAACCAUCGUCUGUUUCAUUGAGAUUAUCAUUGUCAGUAGAAUCAUUAGAAACGAAAUUUCUAAUUCAAGUCACGUUAAACGGAACGAAGUAUUAGCUCGAUUUUAAUUGUUCAUUCCUUUAAAAGAUCCUUUGCUUUGUGGUCAAAUUGUAAUGUGAAAUAACAGUUAUAUUUGUGUUAAUUGUUUUCCUUCUCCUUCAUAUUCCAUUUUUAAGCGCAACUAGAAUCGUUGACAAUUAAUGUUAACGGUAGGAUAACAUGCAAUGCUCAUUAUGAGAGCUUGGUACAAUUAAAACUGAUUCAUGGAUGAUACUUGAAACCAUCAGACAUCAGAUUAAACCAUUUCCACGAUCACAAUUUAACCAAUGUAAAUCAUUUGACCAGAAUGCCGACCACCGGCUCAUUUUACGUUUGUUUAAAUAACCGGUUUCACAGUUGAUUCAUUCAAAAUAAUCAGAAGACUAAUCAUUAGCAGCAAUUUGAAUUGAAAAUUAGCAAAUUAACUUUUGCAACCAUGUGUGGGUUAAACCUUGUUUCGUAUGUUUACUUAUUAAACCACAAUUUCAAUCAUCCAGGUAGUUAGUUAGCAAAUUUAAGCGAGUUGGAUUGGUUAAUCGUUUUAUGGAUUUUUCAUGAGUUUCCAUCAGUUUCACUGAUACAUGAUGAAAUUAUUCAAUCAAAGGCUGAACAGGCGAUUUUUUAAAGAUGUAAACUUGUCAAGUGUUCAAUUGA